CUUCAUCUGGACUCUCACAGCGUUUGCUCAAGAGUGUAGAGGACAGAUCACCGUCACUCAGAGUCCCUCAAUGACAGCAGCUCAACCAGGACAAACUGUGGAGAUCAACUGUAAAACCAGCACAGAUGUGACCAGUUAUUCUGGGAUAUACUUAUUCAGCUGGUACUUACAGAAACCUGGAGAAGCUCCUAAACUCCUGAUUUAUGGAGCAAACACCCUCCAGUCAGGAACUCCAUCUAGAUUCAGUGGCAGUGGAUCUAACAGUGAUUUCACUCUGACCAUCAGUGGAGUCCAGACUGAAGAUGCUGGACAUUAUUACUGUCAGAGUUUCCACUGCAGAACAGAUUCUGAUGGUGAUUGUGAGGGUGAUGAAACAUUCACACAGUGAUAAAGAGUCGUACAAAAACCUCCGUCAGUCAGAGUCACAGUGACUGAACUGAUACUGCAGCUGCUCAAAGGAGGAUCUGAAACAACAUCAUCACACAAUCAUCUGAAAUAAAAUCAUCUAGGGCUGCACAA